rnacentral:rRNA from 1 species
GUAACAAGGUUUCCGUAGGUGAACCUGCGGAAGGAUCAUUACCGAGUGUAGGGUUCCUAGCGAGCCCAACCUCCCACCCGUGUUUACUGUACCUUAGUUGCUUCGGCGGGCCCGCCAUUCAUGGCCGCCGGGGGCUCUCAGCCCCGGGCCCGCGCCCGCCGGAGACACCACGAACUCUGUCUGAUCUAGUGAAGUCUGAGUUGAUUGUAUCGCAAUCAGUUAAAACUUUCAACAAUGGAUCUCUUGGUUCCGGCAUCGAUGAAGAACGCAGCGAAAUGCGAUAACUAGUGUGAAUUGCAGAAUUCCGUGAAUCAUCGAGUCUUUGAACGCACAUUGCGCCCCCUGGUAUUCCGGGGGGCAUGCCUGUCCGAGCGUCAUUGCUGCCCAUCAAGCACGGCUUGUGUGUUGGGUCGUCGUCCCCUCUCCGGGGGGGACGGGCCCCAAAGGCAGCGGCGGCACCGCGUCCGAUCCUCGAGCGUAUGGGGCUUUGUCACCCGCUCUGUAGGCCCGGCCGGCGCUUGCCGAACGCAAAUCAAUCUUUUCCAGGUUGACCUCGGAUCAGGU